GUGCUCAUUUUAGCAGCACAUAUACUAAAUUGGAAUGACACAGAGAUCAGCAUGGCCCCUGCUCAAGGAGACACACAAAUUCAUGAAAUGUCCCAUAUUUAG
rnacentral:snRNA from 1 species